GAUGAACGCUGGCGGCGUGCCUAAUACAUGCAAGUCGAGCGAACAGACGAGGAGUUUGCUCCUCUGACGUUAGCGGCGGACGGGUGAGUAACACGUGGAUAACCUACCUAUAAGACUGGGAUAACUUCGGGAAACCGGAGCUAAUACCGGAUAAUAUAUUGAACCGCAUGGUUCAAUAGUGAAAGACGGUUUUGCUGUCACUUAUAGAUGGAUCCGCGCCGCAUUAGCUAGUUGGUAAGGUAACGGCUUACCAAGGCAACGAUGCGUAGCCGACCUGAGAGGGUGAUCGGCCACACUGGAACUGAGACACGGUCCAGACUCCUACGGGAGGCAGCAGUAGGGAAUCUUCCGCAAUGGGCGAAAGCUUGACGGAGCAACGCCGCGUGAGUGAUGAAGGUCUUCGGAUCGUAAAACUCUGUUAUUAGGGAAGAACAAAUGUGUAAGUAACUAUGCACGUCUUGACGGUACCUAAUCAGAAAGCCACGGCUAACUACGUG
rnacentral:rRNA from 1 species